AAAAAGUUUGAAAGGCAAAAGAAAAAUAAAGCCUGGGAAGGAUUGGGCAGAGAGAACUUAUGCCCUGGUUUGGGGGAAAGUGAGAACAAAAGAAAAUCACUGGUCCUCUUGUAGCCUACAUUUCCUGAGGAUAGAACCAACACACUAUCUGCCCAUUGUACUGUCAUGAAGGAAAGCACAGAGAGUUGGCAGGAAAGAUACAGCCACCUCUUUGGAAUCCAAGUGAUAGGAAAAACAGCGUGGUGAAAAUAGAACACAAGCGGGGGAUGGAAGAAGCUUUUGUAGACAGGAAGUUACCGUACUUAAAGAGAUAAGACCUAACAGAGAGACCCACAACUGGACAAUGUGCAGAGUAAGAGACUUAGACCCAAUAGGAUGUCUUCGUCAUACCCCUCCCCUCAAGGCUCAGGGGCCUACGAGGAAGAAGAGGCAGAAAGAUUGUAAGAGUCAGAGAUGAUGAAUGACUCUAAGAAAAUAGUUUCUUCUAGAAACAACAGGAUUGGUGCACAUAUGAACUAACAGAGACUGGCAGCAAGCGCAAGACCUGCAUUUGUUCAAGCCAGACAGAGUUCCAGCAAGGAGAAGGGGAAGUGGAUAUGGAAUUCUGACCCUAACCAAGAAGCAACUGAGUCCCACUAGCAAAGGGAAAAUCAUUUUUCUCCGAUGAGUGUCAUUAGGUAUAUCAACUGCACUCCAGGGCAGGCCCCAUGCCCGGGAGCAGUGAAUGGGCCGACACAAAAUGAAUUCCUUGUGUGUGUGUGUGUGUGUGUGUGUGUGUGUGUGUGUGUGUGUGUGUAUACACUUUUUGUCUUGUUUGGUUAUCUUUUACUUGUGUGUUUUGCUUUUUGUGGGGUUUUGUUUGUUUUCGAUGUCUGAUUUAGUUUGAUUUCUGAAAGAGAAAAAGAACAUAGAGUUGGUGGAUAGGAAAGUGAGUAUUGCAUCUGCUAGUGAUGACCAGAGCCAAGGAACUGAAAUCAAAUUUGAAAUUCAGCAGAACCAGGGGACUCAAGGCUAUGCUGCUCAAGAGCACUUUACUGGCAUUCUGUAGAGCUUUUGUUCCAGAUAGCUCAGAGUUCAAAGCAGGGACAGAGAAACCAUGAAAAAACAUACACAGUUUUUCUCAUCACUGUCAUCAGAUGUGCUCAGGAGACAGACAGUCUCAUGGCUGAAUGGGGAACGUUUCCAUAAUGUCCUUGAAUACUGAGCUAGAGGAAGGAUACAUCUUGCCCGUGGCAUCCCUUAGGCAGUUGGGGCCAUUCCUCCCAGGGGAGUAAAUAAGGUUUUAUGGGAGUAGAAUUCACCUAGCAGGAUAGUAUUGGAAAGUCUAUUAUAUGCAGACUACAGGUGGGGAGGAUCUGGGAGGAAAUGGGGAAGAGGGGAAACAUGAUCAAAAUCCAUGAA